AAAAACAAACGACGACCACUAAACCAAGACAGCAGCAAGAACUAUGCUAUCAACCCCCAUCUCCGUCGCCGCCGGGCACGAAGACGCGGACGCGGAGGCGGACGGCUCUGGAGCGGAGCGACGACUCGAGGAGAGGAGCAUCCGCUUCCUUGCUAUUCUAGUCCGAGACUGCUACGGAAGAUUAGAGUUGAAGGAGCUGCUAUACUUGACAACAGAUCGAGCACUACAGAUUCUGAUACAUGCUUAUAUGUUCUUACAUGGGUGUUGCAAGUGCUGCUGCAACAUAUAGAACUUAGACGAUAUUGCAAAGAGCACAUUCUGGUUUCAAAUUUCACACAUACAACCAAAGGCCCAAGGCUACCAUAGGACCUGCGUGGUGUGGGCUGCAACUUGUGGUACUUUUGCUGCUUAUGUUUGUUGAACCAAAAUUGGUAGCUCACAUUUUGUGUUCUGCUAGAAUGUUGUGUGAUUCAUGAACCUGGACGAGCUAGUGUACACAAACUUUUGUUGCUUGUUGUGGAACAAUUGUUUGAUUCUAGAAGUAGGGAUGAAUUCCUUUGAAUAUGAGAUUGUAUCUGUUAUUAGGCUGAUAAACAUUCUGUUGUAUUCUGAUUUAUGGUAUGAGAAAUUGGAUUCAAU